AAUUUCUACUACGAGCGGUCCACGUCGGAUUUCUACUGUAAGCCUCCACCUGAGCUUCUAUUGUGAGUGAAUUCCUUCCGAACUUCUAUUGCAGGCAAGCUUCGGCCGAGCUUCCUCGACAAAUGAUCCCCAUCCGGACUUCUACGGAGAUCGGACUCCGACCGAACUUCUGUAGCGGACAGGUUCCAGACGAACUCCUACGACACAC
rnacentral:lncRNA from 1 species